AGCAGCCGCGGUAAUUCCAGCUCCAAUAGCGUAUAUUAAAGUUGUUGCAGUUAAAAGCUCGUAGUUGAAUUUCGGGGUCAGCAGGUCGGUCGUGCCACUGGUAUGUACUGGCUUUGCUGAUUCCUCCCUCUUGACGAACCGUAAUGCCAUUAAUUUGGUGUUGCGGGAAAUCAGGACUGUUACUUUGAAAAAUUGAGUGUUUAAAGCAGGCUUACGCUUGAAUACAUUAGCAUGGAAUAAUGAAAUAGGACGUUCGAUCCUAUUUUGUUGGUUUCUAGGAUUGACGUAAUGAUUAAUAGGGAUAGUUGGGGGCAUUAGUAUACAAUCGUCAGAGGUGAAAUUCUUGGAUUUAUUGAAGACUAACUACUGCGAAAGCAUUUGCCAAGGAUGUUUUCAUUAAUCAAGAACGAAAGUU
rnacentral:misc_RNA from 1 species